AUCAAACCAGACUGAAGGAUUCUUCAGUGAAUACUGAAAAUAUCAUACUGAUACCAAGGGCUGGAACAAGAUGAUCUGUAAGGUCCCCUCCAACUCAAGCCUUUCUAUGAUCCUAUAAUAUGGCUAUAUAAAUACCUGAUGAAGGAAGAGUUCCACGUGCUUGGAAAAUCAUCCCUGAACUCUGUGGAGAAAUAUGCCUGCAGCCAUAUUUCUUAAAUGUAUAAGAUUCCCCAUCUCCAGAUUUCUGUCCAGCCUAUGCAUGGAAUCACAAAUGACCUGUCUCCAAAUCAGCCAGAUCUUGGGAAGAAUUUGUUUCAAAAUUGAUCUAAAAUUAAAACAGCAUAGAACCAGAGAACAUCCUGAGUUGGAAGGGACCUGGAAGGGUC
ensembl:lncRNA